ensembl:lncRNA
AGGGGAUGGAAAAGGGGAUGGAAAAGGAGAUAGAAAAGGGGAUGGAAAAGGGGAUAGAAAAAGAAAUAAAAAAGGGAAUAAAAAAGGAAAUGAAAAAAAUGAAAGAGAAAUAACUACAUCAUCUUUUGUUAUAAAAAAAUAUGACCAAGUGGGUACUAAAAAUUAUAGCUUAAGUACUGUAACUACUUCGACCGAUGCUACAAAUAAUGAAACUACCAUUAGUAACCAUAGUAGUAUAAAUGAUAAUAAAUAUGCUGACAUGUCAAAACAUAAUAAGCGAAUCUUAAAUACGGAUGUCAUAUAUAAUGCUGAUCUGUUGUAUAAAAAAUAUAACUUAGAUUACAAAACAGAAACUAUAAAUUAUACAUCUUAUCGUAAAAUAAAAAAUAAAAGUAAAAUAUAUAAAUUAACAAUACAAGUACCAAUUGAAGUUUUUUUAAAUAAUAAUAUACCUGUAUAUAAAAAUGUUCAAAGAAAAAAUGAGUUUAUUUAUAUAUGGCCCAAAACAUUCCAUGCCGGAUUUAAUUCAGGUUAUAAUUGUAACGAAGCUUGUAAUAUAGCACCAACUUUUUGGUUAUUUUAUGGGUUACAAUCAUAUUACAAUUAUAAAUAUUUCAGAAAUACGUGUAUGUCUAUACACCUUAUUUUGUUUUCAAAUUUAACUUCUUAUUAUGAUUAUACAUUUAACCAACUUAAACAUAUCAUAUACUCUUUAAAAUAUAUACUAUUAGAUGAAUAUGAAUUUUUUAAAAAAACACAAAUGUUAUUUAUUAAUUUUACAUUAUCUAAUGAUGUUUUCUUAAAUAAAAGUAUCACGGAUUACUCAGAUCUAAUCUCAUUAGAUUUAAAAAAACUAUAUUCAAAUCUUGAGCAUCAAAAAAAUAAACGUUCUAUUUUUGAAAGUAUAAAAAAUAAAUUAUAUUUUUUUUCAAAAGAUUGUGAUGCCUGUAAUUCUCCUACUUUUAACAAUUCUAUCAUAUAUCCUCACUGUAAUGAUAUUUUAUGUAUCCAUUGUUAUAAGAAUAAUCUGUGUGACUGUAAAUAUGAAAUUGCUUUAAAAAGAUAUACAUUUCUAGAGAUGAUGGAAAUUUUAACCUUUCUUAUUCACCAUGCUAAUAAAAUAGUAAAGCAUAAAAAAAGACACUAAUAUAUAUAUAUAUAUAUAUAUAUAAUUAUACAUUUUUUAAUGAUAAGAAAACAUGCUUUGUUUUUUAUUCUAUUUUUUUGUGAAAUAUUUUGUAUCCUGCUUAUGUCUCUUUAUUUAUACAUCUAUUUAUUUUUUUAUAUAUUUAUUUGCUUAUUUGUUUUUUUUACUUUUUUCAUGUUUUAUUUUGAACUUAAUAGAAAGGGAGUAAUGAAAAGGCAAUUUCGUUUGAUGACAUUCCAACAUACAACUCUUUGAAAGCGCUUGAAAAAACAAAUUCAGCGAGGCUAUACUAUUUUAUUAGUAUACUUAAAAAGAAAGAGAGAGAUGGAACGAACGGGUUAAAUCCAUAUGAUGAUUUGGAAAAAUAUUGUAAAAAAAGAAUUAUUGAAAUAAAUGAAAAUAAAAAAAAAAAAAAAAGGAAGAA